CCUCCUAGCAGAAGGCACCUGUCGGGGCCCGCGAGCUAGGCAGAGUUUUUUCCACCUGAGGGGUGACGUUACCCAAACCUCAGAGCGCCAUUCUGAACCCUCACUGCCCUGCAGGUUUCUUUGUGGGGCCAUUAGGGAGCUGGGGUGCCGCCCGAAGUGGGAUGGAGUGAGGGUCUGGAGGCCUCUGGGGAACUGUUCCAGGGAGAGGUGAAGGAAGGGGUGGAGACCAUGAAACCCAAACCCAACCCCACCCAGAACCUGGGGCGAGGCCUUUUCUCCUUGAGGAUCAUUCCAGAAGGGAGACCAGCUCUGUCAGAGUGACAGGCAGAUGUUUGCACUUUGGUGGCUGAAGCUGAGGCGGGGGAGCGGGAAGGAGCUGGGGCCGCCCCAGAAGUGAGGAGAGCUGCCUCUCCGGGGGCUUCGGCAGAAGGGCUCUGCCACUGUCUCAGAUCCGGUCCUGUCCCUCCCGGGGAGCCGCGCCCAGCUUGUCUGCCUCAGGUUGACUCUGGGUAACUUUGCUGCCUGGGCUUCAGUGGAGGGAGGGAGGGCUUACAGCAGCCUCCAGGUGCUGGGGUGCUGGUGGGGGGCGGGGCAGAGAGGUGGAGAAACCUCCCCUGGGUUGGGCGCGGAGUGAGAGACCCCAUGUUUCUUUAGCACCCUGGGUUAAUUCUUGGUCUCACCUAAGCUCCUACAGAGAGGAUGUCCCCGGUGUCCCUUUUCGCAAACGUCAGAAGAGACUGAGCUAGGAGCUGCCCCCGCCCCUUCUCCUGCUCCCCCACCUCAGGCUGGCGGGGCCGUCCUCAGAGCCCCCGGGGUGGCAGACAGGGAAGCUUCUCAAGGCCUGAUCUUGGUGGCCCAGAACCCCAUGGUAUGGUUGCCAGAUUUGGCAAAUAAAAAUACGGGAUGCCCAGUUGAAUGUAAAUUUCAGAUAAACAGCGAAUAAUUUUAAAGUCUAACUCUGUCCUAGGCACCAUUCGGGACAUCGUUGUCUCCCUGAAAUUCCGAUGUAAGUGGCCAUCCUGUGUUUUACCCUUGUCCACUGCUCCCCUCACCCCUCAGUCUCACGGGCCAGAGACUAGUCACCAAGGAUUUCACUUAAACUGUUUUGUGAGAUGCAAUAUUGAUAAGGGGACACUGUGACUUGAAGACACAUGAAUAUACUUUAUUUUUUAAGCGACAACAAAACAAGAACCUUCUGAAGCCAUUUGAGCCUCAUCCGCCCCACACGCGGUUAGUUGUACCCAGAAGACGGUAGUUAUCUGUAGACACGGACCGACCUCGCUCCAGCGAGAUGCAUGUCGCCGACUCCUGUAGCAGCGCAUGGCGGAGCUGCGCGCCCGGCCCCACGCUCUGUGCAGCUGUGGAGGCUGCUCCUUUGCGUCUAUGUCAUGAAGUCUGUCCCCCUCCACCCCCCGCCUUGCCCCUUGGGAAUCCCCAGCGGGAGCCGUUACCUGCCCUGCCGUGGGGGACGCUGGAGGACGGCUGGCGCCCUGGAGGCCUGUCCCCGCCAGCUGCACACCUGUCUGCAGAGGUGACCUUCUAUGUACCGUGCCCUGUGUCAAGCCCAGUGUCUGGUUUCCCAGUGGCUUCUGUGUCCUGUGUAUGUGUGGUGUCUCCUUCACCCACUGUGUGACUUAACUGAAAGCCAUAAAGGGCUCCUGCUGGAGACUGGCCUUGCCUCUUCCCAGGAGCCCCCGUCCCCCUGCCUGGCUCCCCACAGAACACUCACGAAGGGCUUGCCUGCUGCCACCUCCUGCUCUCAGCCUCGUGUCAGCAGGACAGAUGGUGUCUAGGGCUUCUGGUGGGGCCUCAGGUGUUGCCAGCGGUCCUGGCAAGCUGUCUCCCUCCACCCAGGUUGACCAUCCAAGCCCAUCCCCACCCUGCAGUGGUGGGGCCGUGGGGGGCACUCCAGAGCUUCAGUGUGACGGCACGGGCGUGAAGGGGUGCCUCUGAGAGCAGUGGGCAGGUGCCAUGGCAUCGCUUGGGGGACCCCACAGCCCCCCAUCAGUGCCCCAGGGCAGCCAGCCAGGUGCACCCAGUGGUAAGGGUGGGAGAGGUCCCAGGCCAUCAUGUCGAGCCAAGGGUGUACAGGUAGGUCCCAUCUUGCGGCCCUGGCCUCAGGACCCCACGAGGACAGACACGUCCUGGGAACACGGGGGGUGAGGACUGUGGGUCAGGUGGGCGUGUCAGGCAGGCUGAGCCUCGAUGCCUGAGCACACUGCGGCCCAGGGAUCCCUGCGCUGGGGACACGGAAGGUGGGGAGAGAGGAGGGGCUGUGUCUGAGCCGGUGGGGUCAGGUGCUCAGAGACAUCACCCCCCACCCCCCACCGUGGCCAGUGAGGGUAAGUGCAUCUGCUGAGGCAGAGCAGGUGAUGGAUGGUGGGGGCGUCCCCACCCAGUCGCCUCUGUCGCUCAAGCCUGACCACCGUGCCCUGACCACCAUCUGAGAACUUGAUGCUUUCGGAAAGCUUCAAGCCCAGGCGGUGGGCCCUGGCCUGCUCCGGUCCCCCAAGUGCAGUGGCCCCGCCAGGACCCCUGCCUGUCUUCCUGGGACGACACAUGCACCCUGCCCUCCCCCUCUCUCCCGCUUGGCCGUGCUCCCCACCCUCCUUGCGUGGACUCUGGUUCUUGUCUGAUGCUCUUGUCAAACUGUCAUUUUGUAAUGAGCUGCGUCUCCUUAUUAAAUUAGCUGAAAGAAC